rnacentral:rRNA from 1 species
AGGACGAACGCUGGCGGCGUGCUUAACACAUGCGAGUCGAGCGGUAAGGCCUUUCGGGGUACACGAGCGGCGAACGGGUGAGUAACACGUGGGUGAUCUGCCCUGCACUUCGGGAUAAGCCUGGGAAACUGGGUCUAAUACCGGAUAUGACCUCCUAUCGCAUGGUGGGUGGUGGAAAGAUUUAUCGGUGCAGGAUGGGCCCGCGGCCUAUCAGCUUGUUGGUGGGUAAUGGCCUACCAAGGCGACGACGGGUAGCCGACCUGAGAGGGUGACCGGCCACACUGGGACUGAGACACGGCCCAGACUCCUACGGGAGGCAGCAGUGGGAAUAUGCACAAUGGCGAAAGCCUGAUGCAGCGACGCCGCGUGAGGAUGACGGUCCUUCGGGUUAGUUAAACCCUCGUUUACAGCGAGGACGAAGCGACGAAGUCGAACGGUACCGUACG